UUAUUUACUUGUCCAUUCCAAAUGCCAUUAAUAGGCACAGCAACUGAGAAAUAACUUUUCUCUAACAGAUAAAAAUAAAGUUAAAGUUAAAAGAGAUCUAAUUAUAAUUGAAUUGGAGACUAAGCUAGAUAGAUCGAUUAUUAAGAGGAACAUUUUUUAUUCAUCUAUGAGAAGGAAGGAAGGAAGGAAGGACCAGGCAGUCACAGUUUUUAAAAACGUCAAAUGGUGGAGCUAUCACAUAACUUUCGAAUAGUUAAAACCCUGUAGGAAAAGCUGCAUUCAAAAGGAGCUGUGAAAAUGAAUUCAGUCCUUAGAAAAUUAUACCAAAAAUAAUAUUUGAGAGACUGCUACAAAGAGGAGAGGAUCAACUUAUUUCCCAAACAUCAGAGGACAGGACAAGAUACAAUGGAUGAAAACUAAUGAAGGAAAGAAACUACCUGGAAUUAAGGAAAAAAAUCCUAACAGUGAGAGCAAUAAACCAGUGGAACAGCUUGCCUUCAGAAGUUCUUUUUUACCAAGGAGAUCUUUUGCAGUGAAUGAUGCAAAUUCUCAUGCAUGUUUGAACUAAUGAUAAGGAACAUUACUGUCACUCAGAAGUGGAUGCUGAUUUUGCCAGGGCUCUUCCCAUAUAUGCAUACCUGCAGAAGAUCUACUUCCAUUUCCGCUUCUACUUAAGAACCAAACAAGUCUGGAUAAUCUUUAAAAAUAUAGCUUCGUAUACCUUUGACUGAAGAUUAGUAUACUCGUCCUAUCUGGAAUGGUUAUCCUCAUCCAUCAAGCACAUAAGGACACAAAUGGAGCAGUCAAGGAGGAAGGGGACAUCCACCCAUCUGAUUCAACUAGAUCAGCUGAAUCAACCCAGAUGUUGCAGCCAAUUUUUCCUGGGUCAGAAUGUUGUGUGAAUAAUCAUUUGAAUUGAUGUAAUUUUACUGUCGUAAUUUAUAUCUCGUCCUUUGUUUAAUUUAUUAUUAUUACUUGUUUUAACUUUCUGAAACUUCCCUAUAUUCAUUUUCAAAUCAUGAGGUAUGAAAAUAGAGAGAAGAAAUUCCAACAAUUCCUUUCAAAUAUGGAAAUCUUGGCUUUUAAGACUGUCCUUAGAAGAAACAAGAACAUUUUGGUUUUGCAAUAUUGUGCAAUAAGAUGAUUUUUGGUACUAAAUUUUGUCUGAUUCAUAACUGCAACAAUGCAAGGAAGCAGAUCAAUCUGAAUUUUCCCAUUGUUCAUUCUCCACUCAAUUCCAAAUGGCAGUUUGAGAUAUUAUUGAAAAAGUAAUCUUCAUCUAAGAUUUGGAGAUUCUCCAAAUGAUAUACCCAUGAUAUACCUAUCAUUCAUGGAAUGAAUCUCAGUUAUAUUCUUAAGUUUACAAUUUUAUUUAUUUGCUUUUGAAAUUAUAUUUAAUGACAUUGUC